GCUUCACCCGCGUCCAGAGCCGGGCAGCUGCCGGAACGACCGAGGCCACCCAGAACCCACUCGCUUUCCUUCUCCGUUUCUUCAGCGAAUCGAGAUGCCUCGUGGAGACCGGGAGAGCGACUGGGUGAGUGAGAGGGAGAAGGAGCAGUUCCGCAAACUAUUCAUUGGUGGUUUGAGCUUUGAAACAACAGAAGAAAGCUUGAGAAACUACUACGAGCAAUGGGGAAAGCUAACAGAUUGUGUGGUAAUGAGAGAUCCUGCAAGCAAACGCUCACGAGGAUUUGGCUUUGUAACAUUCUCAUCUAUGGCUGAAGUUGAUGCAGCAAUGGCUGCCAGGCCUCAUUCAAUUGAUGGUAGGGUGGUUGAACCCAAGAGAGCGGUAGCCAGGGAGGAAUCUGGAAAGCCUGGGGCUCAUGUUACUGUGAAAAAAUUAUUUGUUGGUGGAAUCAAAGAAGAUACUGAGGAACAUCACCUUAGAGACUACUUUUCAGAAUAUGGAAAAAUUGACACAAUUGAAAUAAUUACAGAUAGGCAAUCUGGUAAAAAGAGGGGGUUUGGAUUUGUUACCUUUGAUGACCAUGAUCCUGUGGAUAAAAUUGUGUUGCAGAAAUACCACACUAUCAAUGGUCAUAAUGCAGAAGUAAGAAAAGCUUUAUCUAGACAAGAAAUGCAAGAGGUUCAGAGCUCAAGGAGUGGAAGAGGAGGUAAUUUUGGCUUUGGAGAUUCACGUGGAGGUGGUGGAAACUUUGGUCCAGGACCAGGAAGCAAUUUCAGAGGUGGAUCUGAUGGCUAUGGAGGUGGUCGUGGAUUUGGUGAUGGAUACAAUGGAUAUGGUGGAGGACCAGGAGGUGGCAAUUUUGGUGGUAGUCCUGGUUAUGGAGGAGGAAGAGGAGGAUAUGGUGGUGGAGGACCUGGAUAUGGCAAUCAGGGUGGGGGCUACGGAGGUGGUUAUGACAACUAUGGAGGAGGCAAUUACGGAGGAGGAAAUUACAAUGAUUUUGGAAACUACAACCAACAGCCCUCAAACUAUGGUCCUAUGAAGAGUGGAAAUUUUGGUGGAAGCAGGAACAUGGGGGGACCAUAUGGUGGAGGAAAUUAUGGUCCUGGAGGAAGUGGAGGAAGUGGGGGAUAUGGAGGGAGGAGUCGCUAUUGAGCUUCUGUUAAGCUUUUAAUGGCAUUAUACACCAUGGACAAGCAAUAGACCUGCUGAGCAAUGAACCGGCCAAGUGUCCGUUAAUGCUUUGCAAGGGUUCCAUCCCUUCUCUGGUUAGUUAAAAUGGCACUCUACCAUCAAGUCAGCCGUUGAGAAUGGUCCAAGCAGUGGAAGGAAGAUGGAAUUGUACAUGGUUGCAGUGCUAGUAGCUAGAUAUCAAAUCUGAUAUUUCAAAGUGUGCACGCUGAAUCUUAUGUUUAUACAAUAAUGUGGGAGGGGUUUAACACAUGAAUGCAGAAUUACUUUAGUAUUUGUGAUGAUAAACCUGUAGAUCAAAUCCUGUAUUCCAAAUAUCAACAGUACAAUCCUAACAAGUUAUACCGCACAUCAGUGGGGUUUAGACGGUGUAAUUCUGUUUACAAUUGUACUGCUAGUGCAGGGCUACCUGCAUUUCAGUGCACCUGACUGUAAUGUUUGAAAAAUCAGGAUGUGAAAUGUUUAGUUUGAAAAUGGCAUUAAUGAAGAUAAAUGGAAAAACUUGCCUGUUGUGGCUAAGCAAGGUUGUGCUAUGCUGUUGCUUGGCUUUUCUUUCAAGGUGCAUUGUGCAUUCUACAUAUUUGGCCAGUACUUUUUAUUCUUCACUAUUUUUCUUUUGUUCCUUUGGGCUCUAAUUGGACUAUUUUUCAAGGCACAAGAACACUGCCAUUUCUACAGCAGUGAAGAAUGUAUUGGCUUGGGCCAACAGGUUAAUUGUCCGAUAAUAUUCCAAUGACUUGCAUUUUCUUUUGAUAAGGCUAAUUGAUGUGUAUGCCUUCUUCAGACUUUGCCCUGAAGGUGAUUCCAGGGUUAUAAUUUCAUUUUUAUUAUAUAGUUAUGGCAAUUUUGAGCAGUAACCUCCCCCUCUGUGCCUUAUGUCACAAAUAAACAAUACCUAAUUAUAUGUCAA